UAAUCAGUUAUAGUUUAUUUGGUGGUACCUACUACUCGGAUACCCGUAGUAAAUCUAGAGCUAAUACGUGCGUAAAUCCCGACUUCUGGAAGGGACGUAUUUAUUAGAUAAAAGGCCGACCGGGCUCUGCCCGACUCGCGGUGAAUCAUGAUAACUUCACGAAUCGCAUGGCCUUGCGCCGGCGAUGUUUCAUUCAAAUUCUGCCCUAUCAACUUCGAUGGUAGGAUAGAGGCCUACCAUGGGGUAACGGGGACUUUUGCCAGUGGCCCA
rnacentral:rRNA from 1 species